AUGUCUGAGGGUACCAGGUACCAAUCCACAAUUGAGGAAUGGGCUGAGCUGAUCAAUGCCCCUAAGGAAUCUGAAGAUGACUUGGAUGUAUAUGCAGAGAAGAAGAAAGACCACAACUCUAUGGCUCACAUGUACAGAGAGAUCCCAGAAAAGGCUUUGGAAACUCACAAGCUUGGAUCUAUGCACUACUUGUUGUCUGGUCUGCCUACUAUCAAUUGGAUACUCAGGCAUACAUUGCUUCCCAAGUCAGGAGAUCACAAGAUGAUCAGAGGUCAUGCUAUCAACUUGCUGCACUUGUUUGAUAUACCUCAGAAAUUCAAAGUCAUGAGCCUGAUUGUGGAAACAAUCAAGAGGACUGCAGCUGAUCAAAAGAGGAGUUGUGGGUAUGCUCCACACAUUCAGGAGCUCAUCAACUCAAAGAUGGGCACAUGCACAUAUCUUUUGGACAAGGAGCAUCUACCCCUAUAUCCUGAAUUUGAAGACAACACUGUUGAGAUGAAUGAGGAAGAACCAUCAUCUAUGCAAGCACAUGAAAAGAGAGAGAAAGCAAGGGCAGAGAAAGCUGCCAAGAUGCCAACUUCAGAAGAGGCAUCUCAAGUGUUUCUGAAGAGCAAGAAAGACCAACUUGGCUACUUGAUUGCCUCCACCUUGAGGAUUGAGAAGGGCCUGGCCACCCUGACUCAAAACCAGGAGAGCUUGGAGAGAAUCAUAGAGCAGAAGUUUUAUGCACUUGAUGUGAAGGUCACAGAAACACAAACUGCAGUUGAGCAACUUCAGGAGGAAGUGGAGGAGAAGAAGGGCAAGUCUACCACAAAUGCAUUUGCCAGAGUGCCCAGAGGUCAGAGAUCUGCAGCAGUGCCUGUUCUAGACACCAGAGCUACAUCAUCUGCACCAGCUGCUACAGCCUCAGUGCCCCCGGCUCCAGCUCCUACUCCACCAGCUCCAGCUACAUCAACUGAUGCUUUCGUCCUUGGAGUCAUCUCUACACCACCACAUGAAGACCAAGCCUGA
rnacentral:rRNA from 1 species